rnacentral:rRNA from 1 species
GUGAGGAAUAUUGGUCAAUGGGCGAGAGCCUGAACCAGCCAAGUCGCGUGAAGGAAGAAGUAUCUAUGGUUCGUAAACUUCUUUUGCAGGGGAAUAAAGUGCAGGACGUGUCCUGUUUUGUAUGUACCCUGAGAAUAAGGAUCGGCUAACUCCGUGCCAGCAGCCGCGGUAAUACGGAGGAUCCGAGCGUUAUCCGGAUUUAUUGGGUUUAAAGGGUGCGUAGGUGGUUUGAUAAGUCAGCGGUGAAAGUUUGCAGCUUAACUGUAAAAAUGCCGUUGAAACUGUCGGACUUGAGUGUAGAUGAGGUAGGCGGAAUGCGUGGUGUAGCGGUGAAAUGCAUAGAUAUCACGCAGAACUCCGAUUGCGAAGGCAGCUUACUAAGCUACAACUGACACUGAAGCACGAAAGCGUGGGGAUCAAACAGGAUUAGAUACCCGAGUAGUCC